UACGUAGGGGGCGAGCGUUGUCCGGAUUUAUUGGGCGUAAAGAGCUCGUAGGCGGUUUGGUAAGUCGGGUGUGAAAUCUCCACGCUCAACGUGGAGGGGCCACUCGAUACUGCCAUGACUCGAGUCCGGUAGAGGAGUGUGGAAUUCCCGGUGUAGCGGUGAAAUGCGCAGAUAUCGGGAGGAACACCCGUAACGAAGGCGGCACUCUGGGCCGGAACUGACGCUGAGGAGCGAAAGCGUGGGGAGCAAACAGG
rnacentral:rRNA from 1 species